rnacentral:tRNA from 1 species
UAAUGAAGUGCCUGAAAAAAAGGGUUAUUUUGAUAGAAUAAAUUAUGUAAUGCAAAUUACCUUCAUUAU